rnacentral:rRNA from 1 species
UACGGAGGGUGCAAGCGUUAUCCGGAUUCACUGGGUUUAAAGGGUGCGUAGGAGGGCAGGUAAGUCAGUGGUGAAAUCUCCAAGCUUAACUUGGAACUGCCGUUGAUACUAUCUGUCUUGAAUAUUUGUGGAGGUGAGCGGAAUAUGUCAUGUAGCGGUGAAAUGACUUAGAUAUGACAUAGAACACCAAUUGCGAAAGGCAGCUCGCUACUCAAUUAUUGACUCUGAGGCACGAAAGCGUGGGGAUCAAACAGG